AUUAGGGUGAAAUAUUAUAAUAAUAGAGAACUCUAAUAACUAAAUAAGGUACAAGUCGUAACAAGGUUGAC
rnacentral:rRNA from 1 species